CCGGAAUAACCCCCUUUUCCACUUAACCCCUCAAAGAUAGGAGCGGCAGAUACCCCCAUGUAUUUUAGUUCAAAUGGCCAACACUUGAGGUAUCUCUUGGCUUGACUGAAAGGUGUUUCCCAAAAGGUCUUUCCUCCCACAACUCAGUGAGAAGGGAAUCUGUUUUGUAUUUCUCAAUUAAUGGAUGGCUGGGUAUGCCCAGGGUGCUAACUGUAAAACCUGCCCGUUCCAUCCAAUGCCAUUGGUAACACAGCUCUCCCAAAGGGCUGCCAUAUGUGGCUGUGAUACAUCAAGCUGUUUCCCCACUUAACAGAAAUAUUGCCACUGGAUUAGCAGACCAUAAAAUUGUGUCAAUUGCUGGCUGCGAUUCCCCCAACAAGACAACUGAUGUUUCUACUUCUGUUAUGUAGGUCAGAUCUGCUCCAGAGCCAUAACCUUCUGCUUGAGUGCCUCGCUGUGUCUCACCCAGAGCCAGGCCUUCAAAACUGUCACUGUGAAACGAGCACUUCUUGCUUAGUAAAGAGAAACCCUGAUAUGUGGAACAGCGUCAUUCAGAGGCAAGCAGCUGAGGGGUGCCAUUCCAGAGAAG
rnacentral:lncRNA from 1 species